AUUGAACGCUGGCGGCAUGCCUUACACAUGCAAGUCGAACGGCAGCACGGGUGCUUGCACCUGGUGGCGAGUGGCGAACGGGUGAGUAAUACAUCGGAACAUGUCCUGUAGUGGGGGAUAGCCCGGCGAAAGCCGGAUUAAUACCGCAUACGAUCUACGGAUGACAGCGGGGGACCUUCGGGCCUCGCGCUAUAGGGUUGGCCGAUGGCUGAUUAGCUAGUUGGUGGGGUAAAGGCCUACCAAGACGACGAUCAGUAGCUGGUCUGAGAGGACGACCAGCCACACGGGGACUGAGACACGGCCCAGACUCCUACGGGAGGCAGCAGUGGGGAAUUUUGGGCAAUGGGCGAAAGCCUGAUCCAGCAAUGCCGCGUGUGUGAAGAAGGCCUUCGGGUUGUAAAGCACUUUUGUCCGGAAAGAAAUCCUUGGCCCUAAUACGGUCGGGGGAUGACGGUACCGGAAGAAUAAGCACCGGCUAACUACGUG
rnacentral:rRNA from 1 species